GCGGGUGUAGCUCAACGGCAGAGCUCCAGCUUCCCAAGCUGGUUGCGUGGGUUCGAUUCCCAUCACCCGCUCCA
rnacentral:tRNA from 1 species